UACAGAGGUCUCAAGCGUUUGUUCGGAUUCAUUGGGCGUAAAGGGUGUGUAGGUGGCGCGCUAAGUCGGGUGUGAAAUUUCGGAGCUUAACUCCGAAACUGCAUUCGAUACUGGCGUGCUUGAGGACUGGAGAGGAGACUGGAAUUUACGGUGUAGCGGUGAAAUGCGUAGAUAUCGUAAGGAAGACCAGUGGCGAAGGCGGGUCUCUGGACAGUUCCUGACGCUGAGGCACGAAGGUCAGGGGGAGCAAAACGGGG
rnacentral:rRNA from 1 species